GACGGAUUAGUGGCGAACGGGUGAGUAAUGCUUAGGAAUCUGCCUAUUAGUGGGGGAUAACGUAGGGAAACUUACGCUAAUACCGCAUACGACCUACGGGUGAAAGGGGGCUUUUAGCUCUCGCUAAUAGAUGAGCCUAAGUCGGAUUAGCUAGUUGGUGGGGUAAAGGCCUACCAAGGCGACGAUCUGUAGCUGGUCUGAGAGGAUGAUCAGCCACACUGGGACUGAGACACGGCCCAGACUCCUACGGGAGGCAGCAGUGGGGAAUAUUGGACAAUGGGCGAAAGCCUGAUCCAGCCAUGCCGCGUGUGUGAAGAAGGCCUUUUGGUUGUAAAGCACUUUAGGUGGGGAGGAAAAGCUUGUGGUUAAUACCCAUAAGCCCUGACGUUACCCACAGAAUAAGCACCGGCUAACUCUGUGCCAGCAGCCGCGGUAAUACAGAGGGUGCAAGCGUUAAUCGGGAAUUACUGGGCGUAAAGCGCGCGUAGGUGGUUAUUUAAGUCAGAUGUGAAAGCCCCGGGCUUAACCCUGGGAACUGCAUCUGAUACUGGAUAACUAGAGUAGGUGAGAGGGGGAGUUAGA
rnacentral:rRNA from 1 species